GACGAACGCUGGCGGCGUGCUUAACACAUGCAAGUCGAACGGAAAGGCCCUGCUUUGUGGGGUGCUCGAGUGGCGAACGGGUGAGUAACACGUGAGUAACCUGCCCUUGACUUUGGGAUAACUUCAGGAAACUGGGGCUAAUACCGGAUAGGAGCUCCUGCUGCAUGGUGGGGGUUGGAAAGUUUCGGCGGUUGGGGAUGGACUCGCGGCUUAUCAGCUUGUUGGUGGGGUAGUGGCUUACCAAGGCUUUGACGGGUAGCCGGCCUGAGAGGGUGACCGGCCACAUUGGGACUGAGAUACGGCCCAGACUCCUACGGGAGGCAGCAGUGGGGAAUAUUGCACAAUGGGCGGAAGCCUGAUGCAGCAACGCCGCGUGCGGGAUGACGGCCUUCGGGUUGUAAACCGCUUUCGCCUGUGACGAAGCGUGAGUGACGGUAAUGGGUUAAGAAGCACCGGCUAACUACGUG
rnacentral:rRNA from 1 species